ensembl:lncRNA
CUCAUAUAAUAGUUCACUUAUAUUUUCUUUCUUUCUUUUUUGGUUAGGCAUAUUUUCACUGAUGAUUUGUUUAAUUACCAUACUUAUGAUAAAAAGAUAAAAAAAAAGAAAGAAUUGUUUUGAGAAACUUUCUUUACAUAAUUUACAAUUACAGGGAUCAAAUCUGCUUGUUUGAUUGUUUGUUUGUUUGUUUGCUGCUAAUGAUGGCUUGUAUGUGCACUAUAGUGAUUUCUAUUAAUGGAAUUACUGGUUUUGAUGAGUGACAAUAUUAAGUUAUCUGCAUACUGCAAAUAUCUUAUUGCUGAUGCAAUAUGAGGAAACCAACCCUGAACAGACAAUACAGAUUGAGCAAUAAAUCAUGAUCACAGGUGGUAAGCCACAUAUGGAGACAUCUACUGUUUUCUGUACACAAUACAAUAGUUAGACUAAAAUAAUAAGAAUACAGCUUUUUCAAGUGAUUUCAUUAAGACAUCAUGUUCAGAACAACAAUUCUACAAAGUCUUUCUUAGGUAAUAUGCCAAUCAAAUUGUAACCUCAUCCCAUGUGAUUCGCUUAGCUGUUUACCUGUGGAAUGGCUUUAAGCCUUG